UUCACCCAUUUUUCAGUUUCUCGGCAUUCAGAUACACUCGUCAUUUUGGAAAGAUGCUCAGUAUUGUUAUUGUUUUUUUUUUCCCCACUGCUUUAAUAAUAACACCUUAUCUUCAAGCAGCCUGUCUUCGUCCCAUCAUUGUGCUGAUAAUUUCAAAUCAUUAGAAGACCUGUCUGCUAAUAUUAAUGGCAAGUUUCAGUUCUGUGGAGCUCUUCAUGCUGGAAGAAAUGAGGGUGAAAAAGGGGCAAAAUUGACUUUCCCAGCUACGUUUUGCUGUGAUGUGCUCAAAUUUCUUCUGUGGCACUUGGAAUAAGGACUCAGUAGCCAAGAAAGGAACAGAAAGGAGAAACUGUGAGGAGGAACAGAGAGACUCUGCAGUGGAAAAAUGGAUUUUUAAAUGUUCUUUUUAAUUACCGGUGCAGCCAUUUACCUAAAAAGUGUCCAUGGGAAACAGCCAUUGCCUGGUGUGGGUGGACAGAACAUCACUGCAUAAACAAUUACAGACUGUGCACUGGCCUGCUCGUUCCUCCCUGCCCUCAAAAUUGCCUCUGUUGUUGGAGCUGUCACAGCGCCUGUUCCUGAGCGCCAUGAGCUGUUGGUGAACAUCAUGUAAACGAGGGAAAUGCUCCCUGGAGGUUUUUCACAUGAGCUCUACAAACUCGCUACUCCUCCAGCCCAGCUUUCUUGGUUUUGCUGCCAGCUCCUCUGAGCCUCUACUGCCUUCCUAGACAAAGAGGAAAGUCUGAAACCAGACGUAGCAUCCUUCAGCUGUUGCUUCAGCACAGGUUUAUGAAUGACCCAGUGGUAGCUUAGUGUUGAGAAGCGACUGGGAGGAGCCACAGCGAAAAUCCCUUGGCAGACGAGUGAGCUGAUCCUUCGCAAAUAGCAGUGUUUGCUAAUUUUCACCCUAAAAUGAAAACAAAACAGAAGCAGUGCAUCCAGUGUCCAAUGCAUGUGGGCAGCAGCUUGGGGUAAAAUGCCCUCUUGUCACCUACUGAGCAGCAGUGGAAAGGCUCGUCAGCGCUGCAUUCCCAAGACAUCCAGAGGAACAGUUGCUGCCAGACUGCCCAGAGGGUUGCACAGCAUCCCGGGGGUCCAGCUGCACCUCAUCCCUGCCUUCAGACACCUGUGCUCCAGGGAAACCAGGGGCUGUCAGGGCACCACGGGCACCAGCCUGGCCAGAGAGGAUGGGCUCCUAAAAGCUUAGGAAUUCUGGCUGAUCGGACAGCCAGAAGAUCCAUCGGAGCUGUACCAUGUGCCAACGGACUGCGGCUUCUGGUAGGGUUGGUAGGGGCAGAUUGAUUUCUCUUCCAUUAAAAAAUUGACCUUGGAAUUUAGAUUUUUUUUUUUUUUUCCUGGAUUCAUGCUCCUCAUUGGGUAAAUACAUUUUGAAGGCACGGAUAUUUGACAAAAUUUGCUUUCCAACACUACAAAAAUUAAAGGAGCUGAAGGUGUUUUGGUACUUCUAAUUUAAUCUUGCACAAGAUGCAGAUGUUCUUCUUCUUGUUUCUAACAGAUUUUAUUAAAGGAAGAAUUUAAAGAAAGGCUUUAUAGUUACUCUAGUACAGCAGCUGCCGUAAGUUUGGCUGGUUAUUGAAACUUGUGAUUAAAACAAUAACUGCUUUCCUGUGAUUUCCUGGAGAUGUGAGGCUGGAAGGGAAGGCUGCAAAGGUGUGAUCAGACCUGCCUCACAGCAUGGACCAAAGGAUAUCUCCUAAUAAUCUCUGCAGGAAAGCAAAAUUUCUGUUUUAGCUGGGGAAUUUAUCUUAGAAGGGUUUUUAGUGUGCUAGUAAUAAUACAAGAUAUGAAUUUUGUUCCCUAGAGUGGAACACUCAAAUACAGAACUCUGGUUUCUCGGAAUACUAAUGCAAAGCAGGGAGAGAAAAGUACGCAAAGUAAGUAUAAGACCUAAUUUAAUUCAGUUAGAGGAGACUACAUUUAAGCACAGAGGCGGGGUUGUUGGAAUUGAUAGAAUUAUUGUGAUUCUGAAUCAUGUAUUCUUCCGGGUCCAGCUGAGUGGGGUUUGGGUGGUUGAUUUAGAAAUAGCUUCUUCAUGCGAGUAGGACACAAGCAAAAGGGAAUAAUCUGAAUUAUGUUUUGGAGUGGAAUAGUUGCUUUGCACUAAUCUUUCCUCUGAUGCUCUCAAACUCAGUUAACUGAAAUUUAAUUCCGUUGGUGUCGAUUCACUCUGUCGGUCCAGCAGCCCAAAGAUGGGGUGAUUUCCCCAGCCUGGUGAGAUCUGCUGCUCAGCCUCAACUAAAAGCCAUUGGGAUAAGACCAUUGUCAGUGGCCCACUUGCUCUCCAGCAUCUACUUCACAAAGGCUCCUCUGCAAUAGUUUAUGUGGAUCUUUCAGCUGGUGGUAUUAAAAUGAUGACUUUAAAACACCAUUUUAAACAUUGCAUUCAGAAUUGGAAAUAAAAGGGAGGCAGCAUUUAAAGGAAAUCGGGAAACUUUUCUGGUACUUCAGAUGUUUUGCUUUUAUUUUGGGAAAAGAGCAAUAAUUAGUUUUUCAAAGCCUUCUUUCUCUGACUGCUACUGCACCCCAGAAAAACCAAACCAAAUAUCUCUUGUCUGGGACUGUCUGAUUCUCUGAAUUUUGAUAUGUUGACAUCAAUAUUCUGAGUUAGAUAUUAAUGUUAACAUCUUAGCAAUAAUUAAAUGGGGACACAGAUAACCUGUGUUUUUUCUGUUGCAUCUUGAAGUGGACACUUCUCAUUUGAUUUAAUUUUUGACUGGAGUUGUACUGCUUGGGAGAGGUAAUGUGCAUCGUUCUUAAACUAAUGGCAGAAUAAAUAAAACUAACUAAUUACACAA